CCUACGGGGGGCAGCAGUGGGGAAUAUUGGGCAAUGGGCGCAAGCCUGACCCAGCAACGCCGCGUGAAGGAAGAAGGUUUUCGGCUUGUAAACUUCUUUUAAGCGGGAAGAGCAGAAGACGGUACCUCUUGAACAAGCCACGGUUAACUACGUGCCAGCAGCUGCGGCAAUACGUAGGUGGCAGGCGUUGCCCGGAUUUACUGGGUGUAAAGGGCGUGCAGCCGGGAAGACAAGCCAGGUGUGAAAUCCCGGGGCUCAACCGCGGAACUGCAUUUGAACCUGUUUUUCUUGAGUACCGGAGAGGUAAGCGGAAUGCGUAGUGUAGCGGUGAAAUGCGUAGAUAGAAGGAAGAACACCGGUGGCGAAGGCGGAAGACUGGACGGCAACUGACGGUGAGGCGCGAAAGCGUGGGGAGCGAACAGGAUUAGAUACCCGUGUAGUC
rnacentral:rRNA from 1 species